UGUCCUUUUCAAAUCUGCAGUAGAAGGUAUUCAAGUCGUUGGCUAGUGUGCUAUUGUUCUCAGCUUGGGGGGAUCGUCGCUUGUAAUUAGUCAGCGAUUGGAAUGCAUGCCAGACUGAUUUAGAGUCGUUAGCGCUAAACUGUUUUUCCAGCUUUGCUGCAUAGUUCCUCUUUGCAAUGUUAAUUUCUUUAGUCAGCUGGUUUCUUGCUCGAUUAUACAGGGCCCUGUCCCCGCUCUGAUAUGCGUCCUCCUUAGCUUGGCGAAGCUGCUUAAGUUUAGCAGUGAACCACGGCUUGUUGUUGUUGAAUGUGCGAAAUGAUUUUGUUGGUACACACACAUCUUCACAGAAACUGAACCAUCGGGUACAGCGUCGCAAAGCCAGGUCUCCGUGAAGCACAUGGUGGCGGAACGUCCGAAGUCUUUACUGGUCUUUAACAGAAGAUGAAGCUCGUCCAUUUUGUUGAGUAGGGAGCGUACAUUCGCGAGGUGGAGCGACGGGAACGGCAAUCUGUGUCCUCUCUUACAGUUUCACCUGAAUGGCGGCUCGCUUCGCUCUGUGGCGCCGUUUCCGUCUCCAUGCGCCGAAAACCGCGGACACCGCCCCGGUUCCUUCAAAUGGCGACCCCGACGUGAUCUUGAAAGGACAUCAGAUAAAAUGACAGAAGUGGACAGGAAUUCAGUUGGACUGCAAAUCUCCCCGGUGCACCGAAAUAAAAAAAGAUCCCUCUGUUGCAGACAUCCACGUCAGUGACCCCUCCCUUCCAUCUCACGUGUAUUUGAAAGUGCUCCAAAGGAAGUGGUCUGAACCACGCUGGACUGGUCCGUUUGAGGUGUCAGCUCGGACAUCUCACGUUGUGCGUCUCUUUGGAAAGGGGGACAAGUGUCACAAACGCC